rnacentral:lncRNA from 1 species
GAGCAGGUGAAGUGCUUGGAACAGUGCCCGCAUGGUAAGCAUGUCGCUCAUUCGUGCUGUUUCAUAGGCAUCCCUGUAGGAGGACAGUGUGAUUCAGACCUUUCUGAAGCCAUCAUUCUCUGAUUCCUCCUCAAGGCCCAAGGUUCUACCGGGCAAGUGAAAGUCAUGGUCACUGAAAUUAUACAUCAUUUUCAAAAAGUGAGGUUCUGCAAGACAUCGUGUUGAACUGGAACUGUCAAUAUAAAUUCAUCAUCUGGAAAAGAACAGUUUCCACCUUUGUCAAUGCCCGGGAUAAACUCCUCGCAGCCAGCUUUUUAUCUUUAACGCUUGUUCUCCGCUAUCGGAAUCAGGACUCCUUGGAAGGGAGCUGAGUCCAUGUCUUGGGAAAGGAGAAAAUCAGGAUGGAAAGUUCUGGAUCAUCUUAUCGUGGCCAGAAAGGAAGAACGCUUUCAAGGAUGCCAAGGGCAUUCUACAGGUGCUCAGAUGGACAAGUUUGACAAUUGGACCGUCUAAUAACGUGGUGAAUUGGAGCAAACUCGCCAAAGGCUCUCCAGUUUUUUAGAUGGUCACGGGGAGCCAGAAGAAGCAUUUGGGUCAGUGGUUUACACCAGCAUGAAACGAAGCACCGAGGAGCAUACCGGAGGUGCUGGUUUAGGGUGUGCAAUGCCCCAGGAUAAAGAGACUUUGGAGACAUGUUAUGAAAGUGAAGAUCUGUGUAGAUUCCUGCUGCGCCAGUUCAGACUCCUUAGGAUGGAGGCCCGUCUGUGCUCGGUCCCAGCCCCAAGCCUGACCCUGUGCCCCAGCACAAAG